GGGAGGUGAUUUUUUUCUAUAUCCACUGUACAGCUGGUGGUAAAAAUUUGGGACUUCUUAAACAUGUCAUUCCUACCUCAUAUGGUAAAAAACAUGUUUUAGCUCUUUUGAUUAAUAUGGACCAUAAGGUAUUAUUAACAUAGUAUGUCAAAGCAGAAACUAUCCUACAUUUGGGGCUUUGUUUGGAAGAGAACAUUAACUGAACUUUAACUUUAAACUGGCUUUACUCAUUCAAGUUAAUACCAUUUAAAUAAUUCAGAAUAAAUCAGUGUCCUCUUCGAAAUUAAUGUUUAAAAAUGUCACUGCUUGUGUUUAAGAAUAUGACAUUCAUUAAAAUACAGCUUAAGCAGCACAGAAUUGAACACAAGAAAGCAGAGAAGUUAGACUUACUCUGUAUUUGGUGAAAACAAACUGCCAGUUUAAUAACCAUACAAUAAAACCUGUAAAUACCAAUGAAUUAUACUAAAAAAAAAAUGAUUGU